rnacentral:lncRNA from 10 species
UUAGUAAAAGUAGGUAACAGCAGUGUAAAAUAAAUCAUGGCAGAUGGUAGUCUGAGGAAAUAAAAGUACGAAAGUUACAUAGUGAGAAAGGAGGAUCUUGCUAAUACUAGGUACAGACCAGCUAUAUAAAUUCCCAUAUAAAUACUGUCUUUCCUUGGCAUAACAACAAAAAAGGAGAACAGUAUUGGUCAAGUUUCAGUAGGGAAUAAAGACGAGGACAGUAAUGGCUGGCUUGUUAAUGUAUACAGAAGGUCGAGGAAAGGCGGUGACUUAAACCAUGGAACCAUGUAUCAUGAUCAAAACAUCUCUGUGCAAAAUCAACUUAUGUGUAAUUUGGUUUGUGAGGACCAAAGACUAGUUCUUUCCCCUUUCUGCCCACAGAAUUUCUAUGACUGGAUAUCAACUUGCUCAUCUGUGGAGUUCAGCACUACGUAUAACUUAGUCCAGAAUCUCUCAUACAAUCAGACCAAGUAGGUCAAAUCUUACUAUAAAUCUCUCUAUAAUAGGAGUUCCCAAAUUUCAGUAAAACCCUUAUAUGUUUCAAGUCAUAUUCAAUGUAUCAACAUUCUAGUGUAAUAAAUGAAUUUGGCUGGGCGCGGCAGCUCAUGCCUGUAAUCCCAGCACUUUGGGAGGUAGAGGCAGGCGGAUCAUGAGGUCAGGAGUUCGAGACUAGCCUGGCAACAUGGUGAAACCUGGUCUCUGCUAAAAAUACAAAAAUUAGCCAAGUGUGGUGGUGUGUGCCUGUAAUCCCAGCUACUAAGGAGGCUGAAGCAGGAGGAUUGCUUGAACCUGGGAGGUGGAGGCUGCAGUGAGCCGAGAUCA